GAGUCUGGCCACGAGGCGCGUGUGUGCAAUAUCAGGUUUCCGUGUCAACUUGCAUAGUGACUCAAGG
rfam:Drosophila erecta strain TSC#14021-0224.01 Ctg01_5757, whole genome shotgun sequence.